AGUGAACGCUGGCGGUAGGCCUAACACAUGCAAGUCGAACGGCAGCACAGUAAGAGCUUGCUCUUACGGGUGGCGAGUGGCGGACGGGUGAGGAAUACAUCGGAAUCUACUUUUUCGUGGGGGAUAACGUAGGGAAACUUACGCUAAUACCGCAUACGACCUACGGGUGAAAGCAGGGGAUCUUCGGACCUUGCGCGAUUGAAUGAGCCGAUGUCGGAUUAGCUAGUUGGCGGGGUAAAGGCCCACCAAGGCGACGAUCCGUAGCUGGUCUGAGAGGAUGAUCAGCCACUCUGGAGCUGAGACACGGUCCAGACUCCUACGGGAGGCAGCAGUGGGGAAUAUUGGACACUGGGCGCAAGCCUGAUCCAGCCAUACCGCGUGGGUGAAGAAGGCCUUCGGGUUGUAAAGCCCUUUUGUUGGGAAAGAAAAGCAGCAGGUUAAUACCCCGCUGUUCUGACGGUACCCAAAGAAUAAGCACCGGCUAACUUCGUG
rnacentral:rRNA from 1 species